AUGAAUCCAGUAUGGGAAAAUCUCUGGAAAUUAAGAGUGCCAGCAAAGGUUAAGAUUUUUGCUUGGAAGGCAUUGCACGACACAGUUGCGGCUCGAGCUGUCCUUGCGAACAGACACAUAAAGGUGCCCCCUAACUGCCCGCUAUGCCCAGACGGGGCAGAGGAUAUUCGACACUUAAUUUUCACUUGCCAACGUGCUAAGGAAGUAUGGCGAGCAAUGGGCCUGCCAGAGAUCAUAGAUGAAGCAUUGACAGUAGAUCGGUCGGGCAGUGUAGUGCUGGAGGAAAUCAUCCGCAAUAAUGUGAGAGAAAGACCGACCUUAUCAAACCUCGGUGUUGCAGAAUCAGUAGUGGUGAGAGCAUGGUACAUAUGGUGGCAGAGG
rnacentral:rRNA from 1 species